UACGUAGGGCGCAAGCGUUGUCCGGAAUUAUUGGGCGUAAAGAGCUCGUAGGCGGCCAGUUGCGUCUGCUGUGAAAUCCCGGGGCUUAACCCCGGGCGUGCAGUGGAUACGGGCAGGCUGGAGGCAGGCAGGGGAGAACGGAAUUCCCGGUGUAGCGGUGAAAUGCGCAGAUAUCGGGAGGAACACCGGUGGCGAAGGCGGGUCUCUGGGCCGUUACUGACGCUGAGGAGCGAAAGCGUGGGGAGCGAACAGG
rnacentral:rRNA from 1 species